AAAAUAUGUUUGACGUGUGGAAGUUUUAAUAACCGCACAUUUGCCUUUCCUUUGAGCAUCCAAAUCAACAACUGCGCCGUCUUCUUGUCCCAUAUCUUGAGGGUCGAUGUCUAACAGCUCUAUGACAUUAGCCACCAGAUAAGAGUCAACUUUAUAACAACACACCUUCUAUUCCCUUCGAUACGUUUACAACAGUGAGCAAGAGUGAGCUGGUGUGAGCCGGGGGCGAGCUGGAGUGGGAAUAGCACAGGCGACAUAACGGCAUAACCUCAUCGAAUCUUGUUACUUUAGGUUGCUUUAGGACCUCAAGUUUAGGUCGUCGGUAAGAAGGAAAAGAACGUGCGUUAUUCUUUUCCCAAGAUUAUGGGAGAAGAGGAAGACGAGCGAACAAAUAUACGAAGGUUGUGGGAUGUGGCACGUAAAACAAGGAAGAAAAGAAAGAUAAGUGAUCGGAGACGUUAGCGGAGGUUAUCGGAUGGGAAAUGUCAAUCGAGGUUAUACCUUCUUAGAGUACAUUUUUUUUUCUUUUUUUUUUUUCUCUCAAGAUUGUGCCCAGAAGCUUGUACGAGAGUAGAAGAAGCCUGCAAAAGGAGUGUCUUCUGCUGAUACAAUCGCAACAAAACUCGUCCUGGACAACAAGUGGGUGUUCGCACCGAUCCUGAUUGUUUGGAGAUGAGUGCAAUUGUUAGUGUAGCGUCAGUAAGAUACAGUGUGUGAAUCGGACUGUGGAACGUAUGAUACAUUGGUUAACAAACGAAAUUAAGACAAGUUUCUCUAUGCGAUUGGUGUAACUAUGUAUGAUUCGUCACCUAGGUGUGAAUUAACCUUUUGCAUUCAAGGCCUUUUCUUCUUUUUUUUUUUCUUCUCUUCUUGUAGUAUGUAUCAACAACUGUAAAAUGCUUUCCUAGCUUUGUAUAAUGUAAAUGCAAAACCAUAUAUAUAUAUUAGCUUGAAAGUUAUACGAUUGCAAUUAAUUUAACAUUUAAUAAUCAAGUUUCCUUUACCUGUCAAAGAAUUAUACGAUUGAUAAUUGGAAUUACAUUGAAAUAAAAAUUAAACCUUGUAAACAUUAUCUACCUUGAAAUUUACUGCAUCAAUGUAGAUAGUCACAUGUCACUUUUGGAGUAACUACAUCGAGGUUAAGUUAGGACUGUCAGUCAUCUCUCAAGUGCAAAAGGUUAACAACCUGAAGGUUAUCGGAUGUUAGUUACAGAUGUAUUUAUUUAUUUUCUUUUUUCCCCCUUAAGACGACACGUUGUACACCCUUUGAUAGAAACAUGUAUUAGUACGUUGAAGUGUACAAUGUUAUAUUUAUUGGUGAAAGAUUCACUUUAAUGUAACGGAAUACGUAUUCCGUACCUAACCUAUGAGUGUAUAGCAAAUGAAAUUGUCAUUUGUCCAACUACCUAUUUAAAUAAAUAAAUGAACAUUUGA